rnacentral:rRNA from 1 species
GACGAACGCUGGCGGCGUGCUUAACACAUGCAAGUCGAACGGUGAAGCGCCUUCCUUUUUGGUGGGUGUGGAUGAGUGGCGAACGGGUGAGUAACACGUGAGUAACCUGCCCCCUUCUUCUGGAUAACCGCAUGAAAGUGUGGCUAAUACGGGAUAUUCUGGGUCUGUCGCAUGAUGGGUCUGGGAAAGAUAUUGUUUCGGUGGGGGAUGGGCUCGCGGCCUAUCAGCUUGUUGGUGGGGUGAUGGCCUACCAAGGCGAUGACGGGUAGCCGGCCUGAGAGGGUGGACGGUCACACUGGGACUGAGACACGGCCCAGACUCCUACGGGAGGCAGCAGUGGGGAAUACUGCACAAUGGGCGCAAGCCUGAUGCAGCGACGCCGCGUGAGGGAUGGAGGCCUUCGGGUUGUGAACCUCUUUCGCCAGUGAAGCAGGCCUGCCUCGUUUGUGGGUGGGUUGACGGUAGCUGGAUAAGAAGCGCCGGCUAACUACGUG